AUUGAACGCUGGCGGCAUGCCUUACACAUGCAAGUCGAACGGUAACGCGGGGCAACCUGGCGACGAGUGGCGAACGGGUGAGUAAUGCAUCGGAACGUGCCCAGUAGUGGGGGAUAGCCCGGCGAAAGCCGGAUUAAUACCGCAUACGACCUACAGGUGAAAGGGGGGGAUCGCAAGACCUCUCGCUAUUGGAGCGGCCGAUGUCAGAUUAGGUAGUUGGUGGGGUAAAGGCCCACCAAGCCUUCGAUCUGUAGCUGGUCUGAGAGGACGACCAGCCACACGGGGGAUGAGACACGGCCCAGACUCCUACGGGAGGCAGCAGUGGGGAAUUUUGGACAAUGGGCGCAAGCCUGAUCCAGCCAUGCCGCGUGCGGGAAGAAGGCCUGCGGGUUGUAAACCGCUUUUGUCAGGGAAGAAACGCUCUGGGCUAAUACCUCGGGGUAAUGACGGUACCUGAAGAAUAAGCACCGGCUAACUACGUGCCAGCCGCCGCGGUAA
rnacentral:rRNA from 1 species